AACGCAAAUUGCGCUCCCGGGUAGCCCUAGGAGCACGCCUCUCUCAGUAUCGUUUCAACCUUAUCUCAGCCGCGUCUGUUGCAUACAUUUCGAUGUGUGCAGUGGAUGUGAGCGCUGGACAAUGAGAGUCUGAGCCAACCGCUCAGUCUCUUGCAAUACAUGGAGUGACUUUCCCUACCGUAGCAUCUGCGUGUUUAUAUACUUCAUGUAUAUAGCAUGCAGUGAACCGCCUCGUUGCGACUGCUCGAUAGUGACGUGAAUACUGGCCUCUAUGGUCUCCCUUUACGUUUGUCUAUUGAUGCGGUUCUGAGCAGCGAGCAGUGAACGCUGCGGAUCCUAGCGGAGAGUUGACGAGGGAACACCAUAUGACGCGAUCGUCUUCACAGACGGCCGCUUCUGAACUUCUGAUCUGAGAUGAAGCGAGACAACCCCCUGAAUUUAA
rnacentral:misc_RNA from 1 species